AACGAACGCUGGCGGCAUGCCUAACACAUGCAAGUCGAACGAGAUCUUCGGGUCUAGUGGCGCACGGGUGCGUAACGCGUGGGAAUCUGCCCUUUGGUUCGGAAUAACAGUUGGAAACGAGUGCUAAUACCGGAUGAUGACGAAAGUCCAAAGAUUUAUCGCCAGGGGAUGAGCCCGCGUAGGAUUAGCUAGUUGGUGUGGGAAAGGCGCACCAAGGCGACGAUCCUUAGCUGGUCUGAGAGGAUGAUCAGCCACACUGGGACGGAGACACGGCCCAGACUCCUACGGGAGGCAGCAGUGGGGAAUAUUGGACAAUGGGCGAAAGCCUGAUCCAGCAAUGCCGCGUGAGUGAUGAAGGCCUUAGGGUUGUAAAGCUCUUUUACCCGGGAUGAUAAUGACAGUACCGGGAGAAUAAGCUCCGGCUAACUCCGUGCCAGCAGCCGCCGUAA
rnacentral:rRNA from 1 species